CUCACACACUCUUUUCUCAGAUCCCUUCUUCCAACCCUCACCUUCUCCUCUUUUUCUUUUUCAUUUUCAUUUUCAUUUUCUAUAACAUAGCAGUUAACACACAAACCUCAAACAAUAACCACCUCACAAACGUUGUCUGUCCUCUUCACGUAUCGGUUUCAUUUUAUUUCUGAGUAGAUCUGGUUGAUCUAAUCAACCACUUUCUAGAAGCUACGUGUUAACUGUUUAAUUUGGGUUAGUAACACUGUAACAACAUCCUAUCCUAUCCUUAUAAGGUUAUUGUUUUGUCACUAAAUUCUGAUUUCUGAAACCUUAAACUUGGAUCUAUACUUUUGAGUUGUGUUUCUCACUUUGUUGUUAUUGAAAAUGGUAACACUUGUUGUGCCACAGCAUAGGAACCAAUCACAAGAACAUGCUAGAUUUGGUUCUUCACCUUCUAAACAAUUUAGGGGAAUCAAUUGUAGAACUUUUCAAACUGGAUAUGGUAUUUUACCAACCCCUUUCAAAUCAACCACCUCACCUUCACCCGAUAACAAGUCAAAAAUACCGAAAACAACUCCGGUAUCAAAACAUGAUAACAAAAGACAGACCAAAGUUGAACCAAACAGUGCCCCGGUUGCAAUCAAAGACAAAGGUUGCAGAAAGGACAGAAUUUUUGUUGACCCUAAUGGUAGUUUUUCACUUUCUGAACUUUGGGCUGGACCAACUUAUUCAAAUUCACCACCGCCGAGUUCUUUGCCUAUUCCAAAAUUUUCUGUUAGACCUAAGAGGACUGUGUCUCUUGAGCUUCCUGUUUCUGAUUUGCCUGAGAUUGAAAUGCGCAAAAUUGCUAACUCUGCGCCUUGUUCCCCUCGUGGGGAGGAUUCCCCUUUUGCUAGAGAUUUCCUUGUUAAGGAUGAUUCUGCGACUAAGACUUUGUGUCGCAUUCUCAAUCUUAACUUGGAUGAUGAAUGAAUGAGGCUCGAAUGAGCUAAUAGUUACUGUAAAUAAGUCUUUUUUUAUUUAAUGAAGUUGGGUUGAUGUUAGUUUCGCCUGUGUAUAUAGAGUGGUCGAAUAAAAUUUAUUGUAUGAGUCCGGUUGGUACAGUUUGUGUAGCUUUCAGUAGUGGUGUGGUGCCCUUGGUAAUGAUGAUUAGUGGCUGUGGUUGGUUGACAUUCUCCAGAUUUUGGAAAUUUGAUCAGGGUUGAAUGUAGAAAAAGGGUAAAUGGGUGUAUAUGUAAGGCUCUUUUGGUAGAAGGUUUUGGUUGGUGACUUAGUUGACAUGGAUGGAAGCUGCAGGGAACAUGGUAUGGAGGCAGCAGAGAUGAUGGUGAUAGGUGGGAGUGGUUUGAUGAUGGAAUAGACUUGGUUGACUAUACUUUAUUACAUUUGGCUCGAAAAAAGGUUACUGGUUAAUAUUCAAGAUGAGUCCUGAAUUCAUGAUAUACAUUGUUCACAGCAUCAUUUCUUCACAGAAUGGUUAACUUAAUUUAAUCUGAUUAAGGAUUUAGGCCUCUUGAUUUAGUACAUACUUUAGGUUGUAUCUAAUCUUGAUCUUACAAAUACACUUUAGAGAUCAAUCCUUUGGUCCUUUAUCCCCCCUCAAAUUUUCUUUUCUUAUCAUCUUCUUUUAUCUUAUAUACUCUUCUAGUCUUCUAGAUGACCACUGUUUACAAGUUAGUAGUUACUUACUACCGUUCUUUCCAGUCCUCUUUCUCUCUCCUAGCUCUCCUUUGUUUCUCCCUCUUCAGCUUUCAUUUCUUAGUCGCCCUUUGUGAGGGCAAAGUCCCUUACCAUCUUUUCUGUUUUUUACAAAGAAAAGAUGGAAGGGUUUUGGUUCUUUAAUCUUUUGUAGCUGAAUGCUUUAGUUCUGUAAGUUAAAUCCUUGUCACAACAUAUGUUACUUACUAUACCCUAAAUCCCGUAUAUUUCCCAUUUCCGCCUAUUGGUUAGAGCUUCUUUAUGUUGUUGUCUUCACCUGACUUAUCCUCCAUGGAGAGUGUUGACUAUUCUUCGCCUAAACAAAGGGAGGUGUUACUGCACUGAUGCUGUCAUCUUCUACAUAGCUGGUUCAACUAAAAGUUUGUCUUUGUCCGUGAAGUGUCUCCUCGUAUUUCGUAAACUUUGCUGUGUUUCUUUCUUUGUGCUGUCGUAACUAGUGGAACUUGCUUGAUCUGCUGAGAUAAUAGUUUAAUGACUAUGAUCUACUUUUUUCUCUUUUCUAAUAUAGGAUUGCUGUGUAAGCUAUGAUACUAUUUAAUGUUUUUAAUCUUAUGUGAACGUAUGGUUUGUUCUUGAACUGAAAUCUGAUUCUCUCAGUAUUUCGUUGAAACUUGGUCAAUGAAAUGUUUUCAAUAAUGUUGCUCCA